UAAUCUGUUAGCAACGAUAAUUUUUAUUGCAAUAAAACAAAUAUUUUCCAUACACCUUUAGCAAUAAUUUUUUUGUAGUUGUUAUAUACACAUUACACAUUUCUUUUAAAAAAUUUACACAAAUAUUUAAACUAAAAAUUAUAUGAAUUUGCAAACAUCAAUAUAUAAGAUUGAUGGACUAGAUAUUUACCACUUCCUACAAAACUAAAUACUUUUGCAUAUCUCUACUAAUAGUCAAAAAAAUUAUACAUAUAAGUAAAGUCAUUGUAUUCUAAUUCUACAAGCAAUUUAAAAAAAACCUUCUUCCGAUAAAACUUGUACUGCUGGAUUGUUGAAUUAUGCAUGUUCAUCCUGCUAAUAAAAGAUAAAUAUAAUUAUAUUUUGAUAAAGUCAACUAUAAAAUACACAAAUAUAAAUUUAAAAGGUAGAGAGAAUCACAUAAUAUCUAGGUAUAUGUUUUAAGACUCAUACGCCCAAAAAUAACCAGUUCUUCCUAGGCCACAUUGAACCAAAUAAAAGAAAUAACAAGUAAAAGCCUAAGUAUAGUGUUGUGCAUCGACUCAUUCCAGCAAAUUUAAUCCCAGAAUGGUAAUUGUUACAUUAGGAAGUAGAGUGUUAAUGAUCCAAGAAGUCUAUCAUCAAACUAAACUUUCAAAUGACAUUUAUAAUUUCUAAUUUUUUUUACAAGUAGAUGUCGUUCAUAUUUCUUCAAUUAGCUAUUUGUCUACACAAUAAAUAUGUUACAUAGGCAAUAUAUUGCCCUUAGUGAAUGAACAAAGAGAACCUUAAUCCUAUAUACCAGCUUAUAAUGAACAAGAGCAACAAGUUUUUUCCUUAUGAAGUACUUAGGAAACACUAGUCAUUAUUGACACAAUCUUGACCAGUACAAUCUCUACAAAUUUUACUUCACUCUCAAAGAACAAGAGUGAAGUAACCACAUGUUUACGUAAAUAUAAGCAAAAAAAUGAUGUUUCUAGGUAUUCAACUGUUUAUAGCUAAACUGAGAUAUCAACACAUUUAUGGAAUAAAUGAUAAAGAAAAUAGAUAAAUAAUACUAAAGUGCUUUAUCAAGUGGCAAAUAGAUAAAGAAUACUAAAGUGCUUUAUCAAGUGGCCAUACUAAUUUUUAACAGAAUUCAAUUGGACUCAUUAGACUUCAAUUUUAAAACAUAAACUAGUUACAUAAGGUGAAAAAGGAACCAAAAUAUCAACUCCAAGAAUGCAAUUAACUGCGAAGCUACUAGAUUUCCAAGACACCUAUUUGAUCUAAUUUCACUUCUCUUGAAACUUCCUAUAGACAUACAUUGAUCAAUGACCAUAAUUAUGCAAAGAUGUUGAUUUAUAGCAUUUAUGAUAGACUACUAUGCUAUCAUAGCAGACACUAGAAUAUUUUCAACAUAUACAAUUGCAUAAAAAGAUCUCUUAAAGACAUGAUUUACAUGUGGAAGCAUUUAUUUCAUUAGUUCUCUUAAACUAGAGUUUUUGAUUAUCACAACAUGCUCAUCAAUACAAGAAUUAACCAUCAUGAAAAUCAGAGUGACUAGAAAUAUUGAUUAUUAGCUUUAAGUGUUAUCUAGACAUAGAUUGGAUGCAAGAGUGGCUCUUAGCAUAUUAUGUAAUCUGGAUAAUCACAAAGGACAAAAUAGGAGGGACCAACUAAGAUUUAAUUGCAAAAGAACAAAACAAGAAAUAAAUCUAACUAAUUAUUACCUUUUAGUAUGUACAUAUAGAACAAUCCGUUAAUCUUAAUAGAGAAAAAUGGAAGUAAUAUGUUGACAAGUGCAAUCCCAUUCCAAGAUCAAACUAUCAUAUAAAAAACUGCAUUCAGUUUCUAACUAGGAGAGCAACAACUAAUUUCAUCGGAGUCAAUUCUCACUGUUUUAACUAUACUUGUCAGUUACACUACUCCAAUCAAUUAUUUCUAAACUUUCACGAUUUUAUCCUUUCAACUGAGCAUUUUUGUAUCAUUAACAAAGCAUGCGUAACUAACUAUACAGACUGUCACCAAAGAACCCCAAAACCAUUUGAAGGGAACCACAACCAAGCAAGUCUAAAUGUACAUGUUGAUUCACAAUGUAACUACAAUUUGACAUUUGGCAAGAAGCACUUAGACAAGUAUCUUCCACAGCAACCUAAGGUUUGAAUAGCAUAAUUGUGACUAACCUGUAGUUAGUGGAAUUUCAUAAUGCGCAUAUCUUGUAGCAGGGGAUUAACUUUGUUACCAAGCCGCUAAAGGCUUCACCAAGCUCAGACAGCAAACCAACCAAUUUAGGCGCAGAACUAUAGACAACAUCCACAAAAAUAUUGCUUUAAAAAAUGUAUUAGGUACGAAGAUGAAGAAAAAAAUACGUGAAGAUGAAUUAAACGCUAACUAAAAUCAUUAUGCCAACGCUUCAAACAAUGAGAGCACAAAAAGAUAUAUAAAGAAGCAGAUUGAGGUAGAAUAAACAGAUCCAAAACAAAAGGAAACAUUGAAUGCAUCAUAUUAAUACGAUGCCCUUCAAAAAUUCAAAGAGGAAGCUAAUAGCUCCCUCAGAAAGAGAUGCUCAUAAUUUAAACAUAGCAACAUUUACAUAAUGUUGUACAAGGCUCACUAUGGUGAUGCAUGAUGCUUAUACAAUCAAGAUAAAACAUGAAACUCAUAAAUCUCACCGUUGAAGACUCGCCAUUAAACCAAUUAAUAGAAUACAAUGACCAACAAUGUAAGUGGACUGGAGAGGAGUGAGGAGCAAAAACACAAAUGCAAAUGGGUUAGGAGAUUGCCUGAUGAACAGAGAAGACUCUUUAUCUUAUAACCUUUUUGAAUUUCACUCUUAUGUCCUAUACAACCCAUAUUCACAAUACAAAAAAUUGUCAAGUUAAUCAUAAAAGAAAUCACUAAAUAACUCCAAAACCACAAUGCACUUCUUCAAAUUCAAACAUCAUAAGUGAAGACCAGAAAUGGAUAAUCAAGUGCAACGGUGCAUUAAUCACCUUAAAACCUCAUGGAAUUCAUGCGUACUUAUCCAGCUUGGUUUUUCCUGGCCAAUAGAGCAUUUCCUUCUCUUCGUAACUCCAACAUAUAGAACUGGACAAUUGUUAUGACCUCCAAGCUGGAAAAAUCAAAUAAUAGAGAAACAUCUCAAGUCAGAGAAUAAUGCGAAUUUGUAUGUAAAGAAAUGGAACUUGGGCCCAAUCUAACCCCACAAGCUAGCUCAUGCGGUGAGGAUUGUCCCAAGAGAAUAUAAAAAGACCAAUUCCUCGUACCCACACCAUUGUGGAAACUCAACACCUUCUCGCACUCCGAUAAUAUAAGAUACGGGUCCAACAUAGAGUAAAAUUGGGAUGAGUCUGGCUCUAAUGCCAUGUAAAGAAAUGGACCUUAGGCAAGGAUUGUCCAAUACCAUAUAUAAAGAAACCAGUUUCCCAUCCCCACACUGAUGUGGAAACUCAACAAUGUUCAUGGGUUGACACACACACACAUGAUGUAUCAUGUACACUAGGAGAGCAAAAUAUAUCAUCACUUAGACAGCUUCUAAGUUCUAAAUGUCAUCACUUAGACAGCUUCUAAGUUCUAAAUGUCAUCACUUAGACAGCUUCUAAGUUCUAAAUGUCAUCACUUAGACAGCUUCUAAGUUCUAAAUGUCAUCACUUAGACAGCUUCUAAGUUCUAAAUGUCAUCACUUAGACAGCUUCUAAGUUCUAAAUGUCAUCACUUAGACAGCUUCUAAGUUCUAAAUGUCAUCACUUAGACAGCUUCUAAGUUCUAAAUGUCAUCACUUAGACAGCUUCUAAGUUCUAAAUGUCAUCACUUAGACAGCUUCUAAGUUCUAAAUGUCAUCACUUAGACAGCUUCUAAGUUCUAAAUGUCAUCACUUAGACAGCUUCUAAGUUCUAAAUGUCAUCACUUAGACAGCUUCUAAGUUCUAAAUGGCCAAGUAAAAAUAAUCUACAGCCCACAAGAAACCUUCACUUUCAAAUUAGGCAUUAUAGAAAGAUUAGUAAACCACUAUGGAACCCGAUUAACAAAAGCAAUUUUAUUUUUUUUGGUUCAUCUCGAGGAUUUUUAUUUUUUUUACGAAGUUUUAUUAUUCAUAUCUUAUUAUAUGCCUUUUGCAAUUGUGCAUGCGACAAUAGAUCAAAUAAUAAACGUACUUCUAUAAAGUAUUCUUAUGAAAAGGGGUAGUAAACAUACUUCUGUAAAACUUUUUAUAGCCUUGAUUUGUAAGGCCCACAUUCUUUGAGAUCUACCAAUGGAAUUUGAAAAUAAGCAAAGACAGAAUGAUAGACUCUAAUCAUCCAAAUAUCUCCAAUCUGCCAUAAUGCAUCUCUCUAAACACAUUGCAUGCUCAUCCCUGCUAAAGUGAGGCAAGAGUAUUCUGGCAUUUGAUGGAUCUCCCCACAAUUCUGAACUUAAAAGGCUUCACUACAGUGGAGGAAUCAGAGGAAGAGGAAACGAGACUAGUUACACUACAUAUCUUGUAAGCAUUUGAUAGUCUCCUUUCUAAACAAACCAGCUGUAAAUUACUUCCUUCAGAAACUAGCUAGUUAAAAGUUAGUGCUGAUACAUUAACUCCAAUUUUCUUCACAAGAUGUACUACCUUACCUCAUCAUAAAUCUGAUCUAAAAUAGUCUGACCAUCCAGACUUCCAUGAACUGCUUCUCUUUUUGCAGUGAGCCAAGUGGAGUAGUCACUGGAUCUCUCCCUAACAGAAACAGCUUUGUAUGUAGGCCCAAUCGAUGAAAUGCCAGUGGAUAACAUUACGUGAAACUGAGUUUCCCCAACACCUGUUUAAAGGAUCCAAGAAAAUGAUUGCCACGAUAAACUCCCUUGGCUUAUAAUUUACUAAAUUAUACAAAGUAACGAGAAUAUUAACUAGAAGAUAAGGAAUCUAAUAUUUUAAACUAUAUUUACGGAUAUAACUGCUAAAAAAGCAGCAGCAUGACUCUAAAAAUACUGAGAAUUUUCAAAAAGUACCAAGGAAAUGCACCUAAAAGAUCAUGAGCAACAACAAAGUUAAAAGAGGAUAAAAUUUCAUUUGAGAAAGCACAUGGGGUAGCACUUACUGAAGUUAUUCAGAAAAAUACAGGUCAAAUGUACUACACGGUGCUCAAGCUAUAAAUGUUUCAGGAUACAAUCGACCGAUUUUGUUAGGACCAAAUUUUCUAGGUCCAUCGUAGCGACCUAGUGAACAAUACAUACUCUUUUUUCAAGGACUGACAUCACUACUUUCCAUGAAUUUUAGAAAUAUGAUCCACCAAUUCCGUAAGGCCCAAAAUUUUGCAGGUCCAUUCGAAUAGACCUAGUGAAAGAUACUUAGUGCCUCUACCAAACUGACGUCACUUUUUUUUUGCAGUUUCGGGGUCACAACAUAAGAAUUUUGGAUUAUCUCAGUUUUUCACGUGUACUUAUACAUGAAUAUUUCGGAAUAUGAUUGACUGACUUCGUUUGACCCCAAAUUGUGGGUCCAUUCAAAACAACAUAAUGAAAGAAACUCAUUGCUUUUCCAUGUUCGAUGUUGUUUUUUUUAGAAUUUUGUAAUCAUGAAAUAGGAAUUCAAUAUUAUCUCGGUUUUUAUGUGUAUUUGGAAUACGAUUGACCAAUAGAAACGACCUAAACAACCAUACUCAUUGUUUCUCAAGGAGCAACAUCGCUUUUUUUUUUGAGUUUCGGGGUCAUGAAAUAAGAAUUCAAAAUUAUCUCAGUUUUUCAUGUGUACCAGUCCAUGAAGUUUUUGAAAAUAUGAUCGACUGACUUUAUUUUGUUUCAUUCUAUUGAUUGGUUCAAGAGUCAUCAUAUUAGUGCCUUGGAGAAAUGCCUACCUGGUUUGGCCCCAAAUCUAGUGGGUCCAUUCAGUACGACCGACUCAACGAUACUCAUUGUUUUUCAAGGACCAGACGUCACUUUGGAAUUUCGGGGUCACGAAACUAGAAUUCACUAUUCAGGAUUAUCUCAACUUUUGGUGUAUAUAUUAGUCGAUGAAUUUUUCGGAAUACGAUCGACAGAAUCCAUUUGGCCCCCAAAUUUUUGUGGGUCCAUUCGGAUGACCUAGUGAACGAUACCUUAUUGCCUCUAUAGGACCAACAUUGCUUAUUUUAGAGUAGGGUCACGAAACAAGACUUAAGGAUUAUCUCAGUUUUUCGUGUGUAUUAAUAGAUGAAGUUUUUGAAAUUCGAUCCACUAAAUAGGUAUGACCCAAAAUUUUGUGGAUCCAUUCAAGACGACCUGUUGAACGAUACUUCUUGUUUCUCAAGGACCAAUAUCGUUUUUUUUUGGAGUUUCGAAACUAGAAUACAGGAUUAUCUCAAGUGUCUAUUAGUCUAUGAUUUUUUCAAGUUUCUGAGGUCACGAAAUAGGAACUCAUGAUUACCUCAAUUUUUCGUGUGUAUAGGUCCAUGAAUUUUAUGACUUCAAAAUACGAUAGACCGACUUUGCUUGGCCCUAAAUUUUGUGGAUCCACUCAAAAUGAACUAGUGAUCGAUACUUUUUGUUUCACAAGGACCAAAGUCGUUUUUUGGAGUUUCAAGGUCACAAAACUAGAAUUCAAGAUUAUCUCAGCUUUUCAAGUGUAGUUCAUGAAAUUUUCAAAAUACAAUUGACCAACUUUGUUUGGCCUCACUUUUGUGGAUCCAUCCAAAACUACCUAAUGAACAAUACUCAUUGUUUCUCAAGGACUAACGUUGCUUUUUUGUAGUUUCGGGAUCACAAAACAGGAAUUCGGAUUAUCUCUGCUUUUUGUGCCUAUUAGUCUGCAUUUUUCAAGUUUUGAGGUCACAACAGGAAUUUAUGAUUAUCUCAGCUUUUCAUGUGUAGUCUAUGAAUUUUAUGAAAUAUGACUGACCAACUCUGUUUGACCCCGUAUUCUUUUGAAGGUCCAUUCGGAACGACCUAAUGAACAAUGCAUAUUGUUUCUUAAGGACCGAUGUUGCUUUUUGGAGUUUCAGGCCACGAAUCUGAAAUUCAGGACUUUCUUAGCUUUUUGUGUGUAUUAGUUCGUGUGUAGUUCAUGUAUUUUCCAGAAUACAAUAAACCGGCUUAAUUUGGCCCCAAAUUUUUUGGGUCUAUUUGAAACAACCUAGUGAACAAUACUCAUUCGUGACAACCUUGUAAAAUAGAGCUUUUGUUAUCAGACAAACAGGAUCACAACUCGAAACCGUAAAAUUUUAAUCAAAAAGCAACACGUACCAGGAGGUUUGCCUCUAUCCCUUGAAAAUAAAAGAGCAACAGCAGCAGAACUCGCCGCUUUGUUAUUAGAAGGAUUAAUUGCAGUUUCACCUCGGUAUAAAAACUGAGAACCUCCGUCACCCACAAUGACAGUCUCAGUGGAAAAGGCAUAAUCUACAAACACGAAAGGUGACACUUAAAAUAUAACUUGUUUCUCACAGAAUCAAAUACAAAGACAAAUCAGCAUCCAUUAAAUGUGAACAAAUAAAGUUUUUCAUAAAUGAACAAUUAUGAAGCCAACUCACCAAACUUUUCAAGGACAAGUUUGAUGUCAGUAUCCUCAUCCUAGAACAACAUUCAAAUGGAUUUUGUUACACUUAAAUGUAAAAAGAAAAAAGGUUGAUCAUAUAUACUAGAAAAGCAAAAACUCCAAUCCCUCAAAGUUCAUUCAAGCAUUUUAAUCCAACUCACUCUAAAUCCAAAUUGACUAGUCCAGGCACUCAUACAGAAUCUGAAUUGCAUAAGAACUAAUUUUAUCCCCUUAUCCACAAUUAUAGAAUAUUAGGCAUCAUUGGAAUAAACUGCUUUGCCACAGGGGUGCCAGAAAUAACAAAAUGAUAGGUUUACAAGACUUUGGACUUACAGAAAAUAACAAAAUCCCCACCGGUGAUGCUGAUCCAGAUCGAGAGAAUGAGCGUUCCCUGACACUGAGCACGAGAUCAUCAAUCAUGAGUACUUGAUUUCCCUGAAAUUUGUUCUCCCCAAGUUAGUAUAUCCCAUUUUGAAUCAAGUUAGCACAAAUUCUCUAGUAGGAACUUCAUAAAAUUUGAACUGAAAAUCAAGUUAAAAGGUGGAAGUUCAAAUUUCUCUCAAUAAGGCAGGCAUUCAUAUUUUAAAGAUAAGUUAGGACUACUGGAGCAAAAAAUUACCCGAGUUUUUGAUAAUGAGAUUAAAUCAAUUGCCAGUCCUGGCAAGAAGCCAACAGUUAGUAAAGCACCGUGGAUCUCAUUACCAAGAUCGGCAUGAGCCUCCUCAUCAUCAUCAAACGUGUCCCACUGAACCUGGAAAAAACAUCAUUUUUCUGCACUUCAAUUCUUGUUAAAAGCAGUCAGAAUGCAAUCCCAAAUAGGUUCUAAUCUAUAUCCAUUAGAUUCACCUCUUCAAACUCAUUAGUGGUAGCAUUUUGCCCAAAAAUUCCUUGGGAUAUCGAAGUAAUUACUGGAAUUUGGGAGCCAAAUCUACCAGCGAUCUGCAGAAAUAAUUCAUAUAAUGAGUGGAAAUGAUGUUAUUGAGGUCACUACUGUAACAAAGUACAGUACUUCAAUUGAAACAACAAAAAGGGGGACUAUAACUAUGCUAAAAAUUAGGUAAAAUGUUUGUAGGUUAUUAUACCCUAACACAAAUUACUACGUAACCAGUUGAUCUCUCCUUUCUUUCUGAUUAAGAACUAGUGGAUCUCUCCUAAAAGCCUUAAGCCAAAAAUGUUCCCAACAAUCCUACAAUUGACUAGAGCAAUUAUAGAGUUUAACAGAUCUGUUACUAAAAUAUUCUUCACUGUAUUUUACUACGCUUCAUUCUCCUAUCUUUUACACAUUAUCUCAUCCUUCUCAGUUCUUCUAUUUCAUAUUAAACCUCUUCAAAAAUACUUUAAUUUUUUUUUUUUGAAAAAUGUUAAGUGGAUUAUAGAUGCAGUGUUAUCAAAGGCGAAAAGCGCAAAAAAGCUCUGAGGUCUGUGGGGGCUUUAAGCACAAAGCGCAAAUAAAGCGCGGGCUUUAAUGAAAAAAGGCACAAAGGGAGAAAAGAAUACAAAUAUAUAUGCUUAGUCCAAGACUAAUAAUUAUAAACAUGAAUGACAAAUAUAUGACCAAAGAAAUUGAAAAAAAAAAUUAUGAUAAAGUGAAAUAUCAAUUAUUUAGUUUCACUUCUUCAUAAGAGGCUCAUUGGCAAGGAAAUGUUUGCCUUAGAACCUUGAUGACGACACUAAAGCGCACAUAAAGCGAGGCGAAACGCUCAACAUGUUUUGAGCCUCGCUUUAGGGCUUAAGCGCGCCUUUGAUAACACUGUAUAGAUGUAGUACCACAAGGUGCUGUCAAACUAUGUUGCUCUGACUCUUCAAAACGCCUUUGGGCGGGUUCUAGGCCCUCCAAAAAUGUGAACCGACACAUGUGCAGCAACAUUUUGGAUAGUCCAAGCAAACAUAGCUGUCAAAAAUAUUUACAAAGCGCCAGAAGAAUACCCAUUCUAUCUUAAAAGGAUUCUAUGAGAUCUAUCACUGCUUCAGCAUCAUUUACAUAACUCUGUUUACACCAAAAAUAAAACAAAAGCAAACAAUUCAUUUUAGUUGACUGGAAUUCCUUCCUCUGAUGUUUCAGUAAUCCAAAAGCUCAGUUAUGUGUCCUGACAUGCUCCAUUUAUACUAAAUUGAAAGUAAAUUCAAGUUGAUUCUUGAAGAAUUGAAUUAUUGCUUAGAACAAAACUAAGGUCAUAAAUUAUUAUGUUAUAUAAUAGAAUAAUACUCUUUAGUCCAAUUUGUAAGACACUUUUAACUCGGUGAUGUACUAAAAUGUGUGCGACCAUUCUAUUAAGGGAAAGGGUUGUAUUUGCUCUCUAUUAUUGAAUGUUCAAUAUUGUCCUCCGUUAUAUUAUUGGUCCACAUAUGCCCUUAAUAUUAUACUAUCUGUCCAUAUAUGCCCUUACAGUUAUAAAAGUGGCUCAAAUUUCCCCUUCCUCUGUUAACUCCAUCCAUUUGCAUACGGCCUACGCUUAGCUUCUACCAGCCACUGAUUAACAACUAUAAUUAUUCAAUCUACAAAAAUGAUGAUGGAACAUCUGAUGUAACAUAUUAGUUUGAUUGUCAUCAAACCCAUAAAUACAAUUUGGACAGUAUCUUUACAUGCCUAUAUCUGCAGAAACUCCCUCAGCAAAUCAAAGGCAGACUAAACAGAGACCUUUUUUCUGUCCAAAAAACUCAAAGCAACUUCCUCAGAAUAAAUCACACUUACGGACCGAAUACAAUUCAAAAUGAUCUGAAAAAUAGUUUGUUGGCUUUAAAACGGGGAGAUGAUGUGCAGUAGAUCAAAACACCUAACAAAUGCAAUACUAAGUAGAAUCAUUAUGUUGGUGAUGAUGGUAGGUGAAGGUGUUGGUGACUUUGGGUUGUGGUGGGAGAAGAAGGAUUGGAGUGGUGAGUUGGCAUGCCAUUUUCAGCAAAUGGAUGGGGUUAUCACUUAUCAGAUGAAGAGCAAAUUUGAGCCACUUUUAUAAAUUUAAGGGCAUAUAUGGACCCGAUAGUAUAACAGUAAGGGCAUAUAUGGACCAAUAGUAUAACAUUAAGGGCAUACAUGGAUCGAUUAUAUUAAGAAGGGCAAUAUUAAACUUUUUUCAAUAGCAGAGAGGCAAAUAUGACAUUUUCCUCUUCUAUUAAUGGCAUUAUUCUAUACAAUUUUCACAACUUGUAAGAGUUUUUUCUAUAGGUAUUUUUUUCAUAAGAAACCUUUUUUUUGAGAAAGUUAACUGGUAUUAUAAACAGAAGGAAGUACACCAAUAGUGUGCUCCUAAGUAGUUACAUCAAAAAUAUGAAGGAACAUCCAAAACAAAUCUAUCACCUAUAUCCAUUAUAGACUAUCUAAAAACAGAGUGAUGUCCCCUAUAUCCUUAGGUACAGAUUGAAUACACCAAAAGUAGAAUGUUGCUAGACAGUUCAUCUUCAUACUUUGGAAGGAAAUGCUCUUGUUCUCAAAACAUCUCUGAUUUCUCUCCUUCCAAAUUGUCCACCAGAUGCAUGCAGGGACAAUCUUCCAUCUCUCCUUGUGUCCUGAUUGAUUUCCAUCCCUAUUCCAACAUGCUAGAGCUUCUACAGUAUGUCUUGGCAUGGCCCAUCUAAUACCCCUGAGAUUAAUGAACCAUUGCCAUAAUUUUUCAGUCACUUUACAGUGUAAAAAAAGAUGGUUUACUGUCUCUGUUUCAGCUUCACAAAAAAAACAUCUGGAGCAUAACUGCCUUCCCCUUUUCAUAAGGUUGUCCUGAGUCAGAACUGCUUGAUGUGCAACUAGCCAGGUGAAACAAGCCACCUUAUGAGGUAUCUUCCCUUUCCAGAUCAUCUUCCAUGGCCAACCUUCCUUGGUUUCAGUUGAGAUAUCCAGUAGCUUGUAUGCUGAUUUCACCUUGAACUUGCCAUCUUUAUCCAUCUUCCACAACAAUCUAUCUUCCUCAAAAUUAAGGCUCUUAGCUUGUUCCAAAGUAUUGUAGAAUUGGAUCAUUCUCUCCACUUCCCAGUCAUUGAGGAAUCUUCUGAAGGACAGAUUCCAACCUUGUGCAUUUUUGAUCUGUGAGAUUGUAGCUAGCUUCUGUUGAUUAAGAUUAUAAAUGUCCGGAAACUGUUGCCUUAAAGGUGUUUGCCCCACCCAUACAUCAUUCCAGAACAAGGUCUUUCUGCCAUUGCCCACUUUGAUCACAGUAUUACCCCACAUUUUUGGCCAUUGAUUUCUGAUAGUUCUCCAUAGUCCCAUUUCAUAAGGAAUUUUAACUUCCUGAGUAGUCCAUGGUCCUUCCCUACCAUAUCUUGCAAUGAUGAUGUCCUUCCACAGGCCCUGCUCAUCUGCUGCCAGUCUCCAUAGCCAUUUUAACAGAAGACUCUUGUUUUGUGCUUUCAAGUUCUUUAUUCCUAAACCUCCUUCUUUUUUGUUGGUUAUAGCAAUCUCCCACUUGAUCAAGUGAUGCUUCUUCCCCCCUUCACCAUUACCUUGCCAAAGAAAGUUUCUUCUGAUAGCAUCCAACUUUUUGAUGAUCUUUCCAUGAAUUGGAAAAAGGGACAUCAUGUAAGUUGGCAUGGCAUCAAGAACACUAUUGAUAAGGGUGACUCUGCCACCCAAAGAUAAAUAUUGACUUCUCCAGUUAACUAGCUUCUUUUCACACUUUUCCACCACAGAGUUCCAUAUGUUCAUGGACUUACUCUUAGCUCCCAGAGGCAUAUUGUAAAUGGGAUAUAGAACUUCCCAGAGGGUUUUCUUCAUUCACAAUGAAACCCUUGAUUCUAUUGUUCACCUGAGCACUCUUCAGCAUAUCNNNNNNNNNNNNNNNNNNNNNNNNNNNNNNNNNNNNNNNNNNNNNNNNNNNNNNNNNNNNNNNNNNNNNNNNNNNNNNNNNNNNNNNNNNNNNNNNNNNNUUCAAAAACUUUUGAAGACCCCACGUGAUUAUUCCUGUCCCCAACUAUCAAGGGCGUGGAUUUCGCUACCCCUCCCUUGGGUAUUACCUGCUGGAUCGAGACUUGGGCCCUCCUGUCACCUACGACCUCGAGGUCUUCUUCUCCGACGAAGAACCUCGUCGGUGUCUCAUCCCAUAUUUGUAAGAUAAAACCAUGCCCCCCGAAAGCUACCUUCACCUCCUUCGGAAUGGGCUUUUCGUUGUUUUUGACAAGAAUUCUUGCCCAUUUGAGGUGGUUGCGUAGUUCCGUCUCCUCCUCUGUUUUCACCCAACCCCCACAAAAAUCUCCUACUGCUUUGAACACAUUUUGUGACCACAGAUGUAGAGGGAGGCCCACCAAUCUGAUCCAAGAAUGAUUGAUUUUAGUUCUUGAUUGAGUUGCACCCACAGUCGGCGUCCACCAUUGUAGCCGUAUGCUCUGGUUCAUCCAUAGCCAUCUUCCUUUGAGAAUAUGCUCAGCAACAGUGAUGGAAGAGAAUUCAAAAAGGAAGUGAUUGUGUCCUAUCUCGUAGAUGUUGAUGCCAUAAGUUUGGGUCCAGUUUUUGCUCACCCAUCUACGAACUUCCGACAGGGUUGGGUUCUCAGUUCCAUUUUCUGGAAAUCUGCCAACGAGACUUCUCCCUAAGAGUUCAUUUUGAUUUUGGUCGGGUUCUCCGUCAAUAAUGAUGGUGUUUCCUUCCUCCUCUAUGAUGGCUGUCUCGAUCUCUCUAGAAGACCAUUUGCUCCUCCUGAUAGUUUCUGCAUAUGAAAUCUCUUAGUUUAUUGAAAUAAUGAUUUUAUUUCAAAAGAAAUCUUUAGUUUUGAUGACUAUUAGUAUACAUUAUUAGUAGCAUGCAUUGAUUGCCUCCUUUUAUUUUUCAUGCCACAAGAAUCCUAUCAAAGCACUGGAAUCUAAAACUUACUCGAUACAAGUAAUUCGUAAUGACUAGGUUCGAAGGAACUUAAGUUCUACCAUUUUUGGUUCAAACUUGGCUUUUAAAUUAUACUUUUUAAAUUCUAAAAUAUGCUAGUUGUGAAAAGCCAAGAAAAACUUUGUUAGAUAUAUUUUUUAAGAGAAAUGAGAUUGUAGUACAAUUUAUGUAAGAGAACAUUCGAAUGAUGAGAAGCAUAAAAAAUGAGUCUUUUGAAAUACAACAUUUAAAAUUUAUUAGAAUUGACUAACUACUUCAACACACAGAUAGAUUUAUAUACAUUUGACUUUAGAUAUUAUCUCUAACCUUAGCUUUUAUCUGAGAAUUACAGAUAUAAGUUGUAACAAUUCUUUAUUUGAACAAAUAUAAGACACCUUUCAGAAAUCAAAUAAUGCAAUUGGGCAAAUAUAAUUCAAGACAGGCAGUACAAGUUAAACCCGAUAAAAUCUACCCAACUAGGUGUGCUACUCUGAACCAAAUCUUAUACGAGUUGAAAUAUAUUUUAAUGACCAAUAUCUCCCAUGAGUAUAGUGCCAACAGCUUACUAGAAGAGUAAUAGAAAAAUAGAGAAAAGUUUUCCUUGCUUUGUCUGAAAGAACUACCUAAACUACAAUGCUCAAAAUUAUAAUGCCUUAAUCGUUUGAUUGGAAACAAGUUAUUCCGGAAUUAAUUAUCCUAGAUAAGUUAUUUUACCAUGUAUUUGGAUAACUAAUCCCAUCUCAAAGCUAUAAAUGGUGGGGUAAAUAAUCAUAAGACUGUCUAAUACCUUCAACAAAAUGACUCCUAAUAGUCCUCAUCUUACAAUUCAAUAUAAAAGACAUUUAUUCUUUUUAGGCAUGUAAGCAAGAAUGUAGAUAAAGUUCAAACGUGAACAAUAUAAAUUGCAUUCAAGACUAUAACCCAACAAAAUCUCAAAGGAAAACACAUUGAUCAUAGAAAACUAGAUAUCAAAGCUAGCAAUUUUCAGUUUUGAGCAAUGAAAAGGACAACUCAGAAUAAGAUUAGGCAUAAUCGACUAAAGAGAAAGUGAGAGGCGAAAAUUAAUGACCUUAGAAGUGCCACCGCAUUGUGAACCCAAGAAUCCCAAACACGGAAAUAUGGUUGUCGAUGUUAUAAAUCACAUCCUUGAGUUCUGUUCUAGAUCCGCCAGCGACGCCUUUCAAUAAUAAAGAUACGGCUCUCUAAGAUGUAUUUUCAACAAUUUUAUCCUAAAGGUUCAUCAACAAGAAAAGAUAUGCAUUUACGUACAUGGUAGAAAAUCGACUCAUAUGACCAGCAAUACAUGAAUCCUUCCAUUCCAAAUGAAAUCCUUACCUUGCGAGCACGUCAAUUUCGAAGAAGACAAAUGAACGAAAUGCUAGAAGAAAUAAAAGAUGGAUUCGAAGUAGACUAGAAAAGGCACGGACAGUGCAGAGAAGAUGAUGACAUGAAUUAGUGGGAAUAGAUCAGUCCCAAUCUUUACCAGCCUUAAUUCUUUGUAAUUAAGAAAAGAAUUACAUGAAUUAUUUUCUUAAUUCUUCGUAUAGACUUAUCGGAGAAGAAAUCAGUUCAGCAGUUGAAAAGAAAAAAAAUGAGAAACCCUAGAGCUAGAUUGAAACAAAGAGAGGGAAAAUUGCUGGGGGAAAAUGAGGGAUAUUUUAGCGCCUUUACUUUCCAUACUAAAAUGGAAAAAAAAUUACUGUGUA
rnacentral:lncRNA from 1 species